UACGUAGGGGGCAAGCGUUGUCCGGAUUUAUUGGGCGUAAAGAGCGUGUAGGCGGUUUGGUAGGUCCGUUGUGAAAACUCGAGGCUCAACCUCGAGACGCCGAUGGAAACCAUCAGACUAGAGUCCGGAAGAGGAGAGUGGAAUUCCUGGUGUAGCGGUGAAAUUCGUAGAUAUUCGCAAGAACACCAGUGGCGAAGGCGGCUCACUGGCCCGGUACUGACGCUGAGGUGCGAAAGCGUGGGGAGCAAACAGG
rnacentral:rRNA from 1 species